GACGUAGGGCGCGAGCGUUGUCCGGAUUUAUUGGGCGUAAAGAGCUCGUAGGCGGCUUGUCGCGUCGUCCGUGAAAACUCGAGGCUCAACCUCGAGCCUGCAUUCGAUACUGGGCGGCUAGAGUCUGGUAGGGGGAUCUGGAAUUCCUGGUGUAGCGGUGGAAUGCGCAGAUAUCAGGAGGAACACCGGUGGCGAAGGCGGGUCUCUGGGCAUUACCUGA
rnacentral:rRNA from 1 species